rnacentral:rRNA from 1 species
UGGGGAAUAUUGGACAAUGGGCGAAAGCCUGAUCCAGCCAUGCCGCGUGUGUGAAGAAGGUCUUCGGAUUGUAAAGCACUUUCAGUUGGGAGGAAGGGCAUUAACCUAAUACGUUAGUGUUUUGACGUUACCGACAGAAUAAGCACCGGCUAACUCUGUGCCAGCAGCCGCGGUAAUACAGAGGGUGCAAGCGUUAAUCGGAAUUACUGGGCGUAAAGCGCGCGUAGGUGGUUUGUUAAGUUGGAUGUGAAAUCCCCGGGCUCAACCUGGGAACUGCAUUCAAAACUGACUGACUAGAGUAUGGUAGAGGGUGGUGGAAUUUCCUGUGUAGCGGUGAAAUGCGUAGAUAUAGGAAGGAACACCAGUGGCGAAGGCGACCACCUGGACUAAUACUGACACUGAGGUGCGAAAGCGUGGGGAGCAAACA